UGCGCGCGUUGCGGUUUCUACCGCUGCUGACUUGACAGCGGUUUCGGAGGAGAAUCGAUAGGAAAUAAGCAUGUCCACUUCACUGCCUGCCUGCCUGCCUGCCUGUACUCCCCUAUGCCCAGUUCUGUUUCACCUCCCCUGUGGUUCAGAGACAGUGCGUUCAACCCUCCCACUGCUGAUCCGAGUUCAAGUGCCAGCUGCGCUGAGCCACGUUCCUUCCCCCCAUGGGGGAACACCAAACUUUACUAAGGUUUGAUUAUUGUUAUGCCGUACUGUCUGGAUGCUCCAGUACAUGCAUAAAUAAGCUCCAGUUAGUCCAGAAUGCAGCAGCAAGAAUCCUUACUAGAAUCAGAAGGUAUGACCACAUCACCCCUAUCUUAUCCACACUGCAUUGGCUCCCAAUCAAAUUUCGUAUUGAUUAUAAAAUUCUACUAUUGACCUAUAAAGCACUAAACGGUCUCGCGCCACAGUACCUGAGUGAACUUUUGGUCUUUUAUGAUCCUCCACGCCUACUCAGAUCAAAAGGUGCAGGCUAUUUGUUGGUAUCUCGAAUAGUACGUGCUACAGCUGGGGGUAGAGUUUUCUCUUACAAAGCCCCACAGUUAUGGAACAACCUUCCACUUAGUGUUCGAGGCUCAGACACAGUCUCAGUGUUUAAGUCUAUGCUGAAAACAUAUUUGUUUAGUCAAGCCUUUAGUGAAUAGUUUUCUUAGGAACAGGGGCAGGUCUGGAGGGUUCACAGGGAUAGAGUGUUGUGGUGAACUGGGAUGUUUGGAUGCUGACGCGUUCACUCAGGUUUGUCUACAGUGGAGUGGCUGGCUGCCUUAUGUCCCAGGGUGCCCUCAUGUCUGUGUUAGCUUCUGGCUCUCCCUUUUAGUUUUAGUUAUGCUGUCAUAGCUAGUCUUGCUGGAGUCCCUGCUUGCACUCUGCACGCAAAGUACAUUGUCUUUAACCAUUAGAGGACAAAAGCUUACUUAAUCUCUCUCUCUCUCCAUCUCUCUCUCUCCCCCUCUCGCUCUCCGUCGAGCUACACAUGCUACUUCUGAGAUGCCAGUGAUCCUGACCCCUUCUACUCCUCCUCGCUGCCUGACCCAUCCUGAUGCCCCUUCUGCUCCUCCUCGCUGCGUGACCUAUCUUGAUGCCCUAAUUCUGGUUGGAGUUCUCAUCUGUUGAGUUCGCUUGCUGCUGCUGGGGGCGGCCCCAUAUGGACGGUCUGAAGAACCAUUUGGUUUGCUGGGGAUAGUCCCACCUGGGGGCUGUGGAGAUGGCUUGGGGAUCACAUAUGGGGAGCUGUACUGUAAUGGCCUGGGACUGCGAUUGCUGUAGUGGCUUUGGGGCUGCGGUUGCCAUGAACACCUUCGUACUCAGGACUCCAUCAGUGGACAGUGGAUAGAUUUUAACCAACCAGACUUCUUGCAAAAACUGUGAUGAAUUUAUUGGUUGCACAAUUGCACUAUUUGUCCAUAUAGUACACAAUAAUAGAAGGGAUUUAUUUAUAAUUGCACUAUCCGUUGCGCCCAGAGGAUGGAUUCCCUUUUGAACCUGGUUCCUAUCAAGGUUUCUUCCUCAUAUCAUCUCAGGGAGUUUUUCCUUGCCAUCAUCGCCUCUGGCGUGCUCAUUAGGGAUAAAUUCACAUAUUUACAAUAUAUUUUUUGUGAAUCCAUUUAUUUCUGUAAAGCUGCUUUGUGACAAUGUCCAUUGUUAAAAGCGCUAUACAAAUAAAAUUGAAUUGAAUGUCUCAACUCUCAUUAUCCUUCAAUAAAAUCUGUUCAAGAGAUUUCAA